UACCAGCACCCCAAGUGGUCGGGACGUUUAUUGGGCCUAAAGCAUCCGUAGCCGGUUCUGCAAGUCUUCCGUUAAAUCCACCUGCUUAACAGAUGGGCCGCGGAAGAUACUAUAGAGCUAGGAGGCGGGAGAGGCAAGCGGUACUCGAUGGGUAGGGGUAAAAUCCGUUGAUCCAUUGAAGACCACCAGUGGCGAAGGCGGCUUGCCGGAACGCGCUCGACGGUGAGGGAUGAAAGCUGGGGGAGCAAACCGG
rnacentral:rRNA from 1 species